GUGAUGUUCUUCCACUUUGUGUCCUGUGUGGUUGACUGCUUGCAUGCCGCUUCGAGAGAACCAGAGGAGGAGAUGGUGCCUUCGACUACACUGAUGCAGUGUCACUAGAGAAGGGGGGCAUCACUGUUCUUUUCCCAACCUUUGUUUUGUUUUGUUCUAUUGUGUGAGUGAGUCAUCCUGUGCAACCCUUUCACUUUGACGUUCGAGACGAAGGGGCUUGUGUAAGUUUCACUCUAACAUCCAAGACGAAGGGGCUUGUGUAACGUGAUUCAUGUAUGACAUUUAGUGUAUUUCUUGGGCUAGUGCAAUUAUUAUCAGUGCAGUCCCUGGCAGCAUCGCCAAUGACCUUUGGAACAGUUUUUUGGUUGCUGUAGUGGGAGACCAAACGUAGCAUUAUCUAACUAACAAGUGUGUGGCCAAUUCAGACUUUGCCUACGGGCAGUUUUGUGUGUUUUUGUUUUAUUUCUUUACUAACAGUGUUUGCAGUGCAUUGUCUGCUGUUUGGUCCCCUUCUCAUGCAAUUGCAUAAUUUGCACAUUAUUGUCACUAUCGGUAAUUGCCUCUAAUGCCACUUUUGUAUUGCACUGGUUCAGAAGUAUAUGAAAUCCAAGACUGAGCCUGUGAAACAGAUAUUUUGAGUACAGACAUUUGAAAUACAGAAAAGAUGAGUAUCACUGAAAGAAAAUAAAAAGAACUCUGAAUUGUA